GACAUCAUAAUCUAAAAAAGAUUAUAGCUUUGCAUGCUUUUUAUAGGAAUUUAUUUCUUUGAUGUUA
rnacentral:tRNA from 1 species